rnacentral:lncRNA from 1 species
ACUUUCCUUUAAAAAUCUGAUGACGAAAUGCUAGGCCCCGCCAUACGUCCCGAAAUGAAACUGAGCUCCCUUGCCGGCCUAAACCCUCUUUUCCUGAGCCUGGUGUAUACAAGGAAGGAGAUAAAUAAGAGAAGAAGGCCUUAUCAGAAAAAGAAAAAAACCCAGUGCAAGUAACUGGCUUGAGCGUAAUUUACCUUCGCAGCUUCCGGUCGUUUCCCUAAGUGAUUUAUUUAGAUCACAGAUUAACUUUCCAGAAUCGGAAUAAAAUAAUUUAGCUCUUCAGAGCACGGGUGGAGGAAAGCCAGGGCUGAGUUGGGACGAGUGCAGGAAACGCGUCGGACCUUUCCGGGCAGCUGGACAGUAUGGUAAACAGUCUGGAAGGGUUAUAUUAUUUUCUAAGGAGUUUGGAGAGACUGUUCCUUCGCACCCAGCUCAAGUGCAGGCCGGGGGAGGGGAGAGGGAACCUGCACCGGCCCUUGCUGGGAACCGCGCUUCCGGACCCGACACAGGGCUAGGGCAAACCGAGGAGCGCUUUCGCCUCUAGCUGAGAAACCUUUCCAGUCUUCCCAGCUGCUAGAGAAGGGAGCGAAAGCAAAACGAAAGCACCCGGGGCACAUCAGUCGCGGCGGCUUCCCUGAACGCGGCCGUGGGAGGCCAACGUCUGGGGUCGGUAGGCGAGGGUGGACGCGGGGGUUGCGUGGAAACUGGGUGGCGGGUGAUCCCCGCAGGACCCCCGGGAGCUGCUGGGAGCUCCGUCGCUCCUCCUCCCCCUGGGAAAAGCGACUGCGUGUGAGAAUGUAUCAGCCCCGAAGGGAAAGUUUGGCCUGGGUCUGGAGUUGAAAUUCGAGACUGAUUGGGACCGUGCGGAGGGGACGCAGAGGCAAAGGAGUGUGGCGCGGGGGCGAGCGUUGGCCCCCGGCUGCUGAGCCGGGGAAGAGGCCGGGGAGAGCCGGAGCGCGGCGAGGGCGCGCAGAGGCCGCUGGGGACUGGAGGCCCACGGAAUUGUUGCUCCGCUGAGGUUGCAAACUCAGCCUGCUUCCCCGCAAAAACCAGAGUUCUGCGCGGUAGAAAGACUUCAGGAAACUUUGGUGACAUCCUCUGCACCCGCCCUCUUCCCUCGUGGCAGUCACUGCGAGGACAAAGGCGGCCUGCGCUGAUUUGGACGAGGAGCGGCCCGUGUGGGCGGCCUUAGAGGCCGCAGACUUUUUCAGUUAGGAGAAGGAUGAGUAGCUUUACGAGGUGAAGAUUACCGCCACAACCACCCCUCAGGGGUGACAGCCAGUCCAAGUCUGAUUUGUUAAUAAUCAUUCUCAUUCCCCCACCUUCCCCCCGCAGUGACCCAACACUGGGAGACUGACCUGCGAGAUGCUCUCCCUUUCACUCCAGUAGGUUUCUGUGGCCAAACGCUCGAAAAGCCCCACCUUGCCCUACCUAAUAAACAACUAACUUUGUUCUAUUGAAUGUCACCUUUGUUGUAGAAAUAUCUGUGGGUUUUGGCAAGUGUCAAAAAAAAAAAAAAAAUCACCUGAUCCUAAAUGAGUCGAAUGUGGAAACAGUUUUUUGUGCGAGUAGUUUGGGUCUGUGCUUUCUCUCACUGGCACCUAAUGCAUCGCAGCUCCAGGCUGUUACACCUCUAGCUGUGCAGGGGCACUUUCGCACCACGCCCUUCCUCUUUUUAAAGAAGGAGACUUGGAAUUGUGCACUUGUGUGCCUUAUUUAGAUUCUGCAUCGCUGGUUAUUCAUUUCACCAAAAGGACUCAAAAACCUCUAUACUUUUAAAAGAUGCAAAAUGGAGUUAUUUUAAGCAGACCUCGGGAAGGGCAGCAUUGGUUUCCUGCUAAUGAUAUGCUGGUUAACAGGCAAUAGUCAAAUGCAGACUAACUGUUCGUUUUCUUUCUUCCCUCUUCACUCUAACUGCAAAUAUCAGAAAGUUCUAAGUGUGAAAAACAUGGCCCACUCCACCCAAAGUUCUUUCUACAAUGAUGAGAGGAGACCAGCAGGUGAAAGAGCCACGUAGGGUAUUACUUUUGGAAAGAGUCUUCUAUUUCUUAAAAAAGAAAAAGCAGCAAAAGCUACUUUUGACUCAACAGACUGAUUAAAAUGCCUGCUUUCACCAUGCGCGCCCUUUGGUUUCAUAUGUGGCCACUGUUCUCACUUUCUUGCAAGUUUUUCCCCUUGUAACUUAUUUCUGUGAAACAGAGAUUCCAUCAGGUUAUCUUGCUAAACUGGGCGUCUAUAAUUAUGAAGUUGGUCCUUUCUCCUCCACCCCACUUAAAAAGUACACACACGACUUUGAAAGCCCAUAGUUAUCUUUAUUUCGCAUCCUACUUUUUUUUUUUUUAAUUCCGCAUUCGCAAAUGAUGCUUUGCCUGGGCUAGGUUCAGACCGGAUUAUCGAAAACAUUACCCGCUCGGGCAGUCCCUUAAGCCAUCGAAAGCCCAACCUUGCGCAGGCUGCUGGAACCCGCACCAGAAACCUCGAUUUAGAGUCCAGUUUGGAAACAAAUCUGUGCUUUUCGCGGUGA